AUUGAACGCUGGCGGCAUGCCUAACACAUGCAAGUCGAACGGCAGCGCGGGGGCAACCCUGGCGGCGAGUGGCGGACGGGUGAGGAAUGCAUCGGAAUCUGCCCGGUUGUGGGGGAUAACGUAGGGAAACUUACGCUAAUACCGCAUACGACCCAAGGGUGAAAGUGGGGGACCGCAAGGCCUCACGCGAUCGGAGGAGCCGAUGCCGGAUUAGCUAGUUGGCGGGGUAAAGGCCCACCAAGGCGACGAUCCGUAGCUGGUCUGAGAGGAUGAUCAGCGAGACUGGAACUGAGACACGGUCCAGACUCCUACGGGAGGCAGCAGUGGGGAAUAUUGGACAAUGGGCGCAAGCCUGAUCCAGCAAUGACGCGUGGGUGAAGAAGGCCUUCGGGUUGUAAAGCCCUUUUGUACGGGAAGAAAAGCUUGUGGUGAAUACCCGCGGGUCAUGACGGUACCGUAAGAAUAAGCACCGGCUAACUUCGUGCCAGCCGCCGCAGUAAUAC
rnacentral:rRNA from 1 species